AACGCGAAGAACCUUACCUGGGCUUGAACUACUGGUAGUAAGUCCUUGGAAACAGGGGCUGAUCCGCAAGGAAGCCAGCAGAGGUGCUGCAUGGUUGUCGUCAGCUCGUGUCGUGAGAUGUUGGGUUAAGUCCCGCAACGAGCGCAACCCCUAUCCAAUGUUGCUACUCCCGCAAGGGAGGCACUCUUUGGAAACUGCCUUCGAUAAGAAGGAGGAAGGUGGGGACGACGUCAAAUCCUCAUGGCCCUUAUGUCCAGGGCCACACACGUGUUACAAUGGCCGGUACAAUGGGAAGCAAUACCGCAAGGUGGAGCCAAACCCCUAAAGCCGGCCCCAGUUCAGAUUGUGGGCUGCAACUCGCCCACAUGAAGGCGGAAUCGCUAGUAAUCGCUGAUCAGCAGGCAGCGGUGAAUACGUUCCCGGGCCUUGUA
rnacentral:rRNA from 1 species